AAGUUUGGCUUACUGCGUCAGCAACCACUGUAGGCUGCGAUUGCAUUUGCUGUAUUGUUUAAGGAGCAUUUGGUUUCUAAGGGUUUCAUGUACUGGAUGGAAGAACUCGUGUCUGAGAACAUCCUCUGCGCUGGUUCGUUGCCUCGGGUUAACGGUCAAACAUCUAUCCACGAAGUCAAGGAGCGGCCGUGGGAUUGCGUCUAGAAACUCUCUGCGUUUGUGUUGAGUUCACACCAUUUUCUCAACUCCAGCCCCUUCAACGUACAAUUCUUGAAACAACAACACAAAAAUCUAUGUGCAUUCAAUUCAUCUCUCACGAUCAUCUAUCAAAUCACUUUAUCAGUAAUUUACAUUUUAAAGUUAUAUCAUGUUCUGGACUAACAAUGAAAACCAUUUUAUUUGAAUCCAUAUGCUGGCGGCAAAGAAGAACAGAGCAUUUGUAUUAUGUCACACAAAUUCAGCAAUCAAGUGAAUGGAGAGUUUAUAAGGGAGGUAAGAUGAGAUUUUACCUCAGGCAAAGAGGUUUCACUAUUGUGCAGCUUGGCUACUUCCCAUAAGUCUUCACUGCUUCGUAGUUACUCAAUGUCCUUCACGUUCCUAGGAAUCACAAGGUCGUUGUAAGACGGCAAGAAAGAAAAAAGAGUGGAAUCGACUGAUGGUGUAUUAUGUUUUUAUUAUUAUUAUUAGGUCAUUGGUGCAAUAUCUGAAGCAAACCUGCACAAACCAAUUCAGCUAAAAGAAGCACCAGAGAAAUUAGCUUUCACAUCCUAAAUGUGACAAUGACUAGCUCACUUGAGCUCAGGGUCGUGGUGGAGGUCGGUGAGUGGGACGGGUGGAAGCUGGUUUGUAUGUAUGGGGCUGUGGUGGUGGUGCGUUAUGUUUUAAUCACUGUUUUUUUACUGUGAGUGUAGGAAACGCCACGGUAGCAGUGAUGCAAU